CGCGUAGGUGGUAGUGCAAGUCUGAGGUGGAAUCCCAGGGCUUAACCCUGGAACUGCCUUGGAAACUGCAUUACUUGAGUCAGUGAGGGGAGGGUAGAAUUCCUGGUGUAGCGGUGAAAUGCGUAGAUAUCAGGAGGAAGGCCGGUGGCGAAGGCGGCCCUCUGGCGCUGAACUGACACUGAGGCGCGAAAGCGUGGGGAGCAAACAGGAUUAGAUACCCUGGUAGUCCACGCCCUAAACGGUGGGUACUAGGUGUAGGGCUCGUAAGGGUUCUGUGCCGAAGCGAAAGCAUUAAGUACCCCGCCUGGGGAGUACGGCCGCAAGGUUAAA
rnacentral:rRNA from 1 species